UUUUUGUUCAUUUAUCAUAGGUUACAGACCACCCUGGAAAAGAAGAGUUUUGUUCUCCUCCCUAUGCUCAUUAUGAAGUCCCUCCAACUUUCUAUCGGUCAGCCAUGCUCCUUAAGCCCCAGCUAGGAUUGGGUGCAAUGUCCCGUUUACCAUCUGCAAAGAGCAGGAUUCUGAUUGCAAGUCAGAGGUCUUCAGCGAGCGCCAUCCACCCACCAGGACCCAUAACAACAGCCACCAGUCUCUACAGUUCCGAUCCUUCAGAUUUAAAGAAAGCUUCCAGUUCAAAUGCUGCAAAAUCCAAUCUCCCGAAAUCUGGUCUCCGUCCUCCCGGAUACUCACGUCUCCCGGCAGCCAAACUGGCGGCAUUUGGCUUUGUCCGGAGCUCCAGCGUCUCCUCAGUCUCCAGCACCCAGUCCGGGGACAGUGCACAGCCAGAGCAGGGCCGGCCAGCCACCCGUUCAACCUUUGGGAAUGAAGAACAGCCAGUUCUGAAGGCAUCUCUGCCUUCUAAGGACACACCCAAGGGGGCCGGCCGGGUGGCCCCUCCAGCAUCCUCCAGUGUGACAGCACCCCGCAGGAGUUUACUUCCAGCGCCAAAAUCCACUUCCACACCUGCUGGAACAAAGAAAGAUGCUCAGAAAGAUCAAGAUACAAAUAAACCUGCUGUUUCAUCUCCUAAGAGAGUAGCAGCUUCAACCACCAAGCUUCAUUCACCAGGUAUGUAAGAAAUAUGAUGUGUUACUUGGGGGGAUGACUUGAACUUGG
rnacentral:lncRNA from 1 species